GAGGAAAUCCGUGGUGCUUCAGGAUAUUGUGAAUUUGGGCCUCUGAAAGCAGAAUUCUGAUUUAACAGUAUAAUGGAAUUCAUGAACGUCAUGAUGCUAAUUUGAACAAACAAGCAGCCUUGUGAGAGGAAUGUUUUUCCUCAAGUCUGAAGAACACCAGGAGAAUCUUUCUGGAUGGAGUUACCAGGAAUCCUCUGCUGAGGAAAGUGAAAGGGAAGAUGCAAUUUCUCCUGGGAAGGGGGGAUGCUGAUGUAGAGGGUGACAAGUAAUAUGCCAUGAAGGAUUCAGUCACCUGGUUAGAUUUAGAGUUAGAGUUAUGGUUAAGGAAGAAGGAAGGAAAAAAGGGAGAAGAGGAAGAAAGGAAGCAAGAAAAGAUAAAAUUUAUUCUGAGAUAAAAUUUGUGAAUUUUGCUA
rnacentral:sRNA from 1 species